GUGGGGAAUAUUGGGCAAUGGAUGCAAGUCUGACCCAGCCAUCCCGCGUGCCGGAAGAAGGCCCUCAGGGUUGUAAACGGCUUUUGACGGUGAAGAAUCGACAGGAUGCGUCCUGUUUUGUCGGUAGCCGUUGAAUAAGCACCGGCUAACUCCGUGCCAGCAGCCGCGGUAAUACGGAGGGUGCGAGCGUUGUCCGGAUUUAUUGGGUUUAAAGGGUGCGUAGGCUGGAAGGUCAGUCAGCGGUGAAAAGCUGUCGCUUAACGAUAGUCUUGCCGCAGAUACUUCCUUUCUUGGAUGAGGAGGAGGCCACUGGAACGGAUGGUGUAGCGGUGAAAUGCAUAGAUAUCAUCCAGAACACCGAUUGCGAAGGCAGGUGGCUGUACCUUAAUCGACGCUGAUGCACGAAAGCAUGGGGAGCAAACAGGAUUAGAAACCCUGGUAGUCC
rnacentral:rRNA from 1 species